rnacentral:rRNA from 1 species
AUCUUAGCGGUGGAUCACUCGGUUCGUGGAUCGAUGAAGAACGCAGAUAGCUGCGAUAAAUAGUGCGAAUUGCAGACACAUUGGGCACUAAAAAUUCGAACGCACAUUGCGCCAUCGGGUUCAUUCCCGUUGGCACGUCUGGCUGAGGGUUGAAAU